AAUCAGAGCUACACAAAUAAAUCCAUCCUGUGAACAACUUCCAAGAAAAUAUAGCAAAGAUGUGGUAGCUAUUUAGCCUGUUAAUGAGGAUAACCUGUCAAAGUUAUCAUAAAACAAGAAGAUUACAGGCUGCUUCGAAUCAUUUUAUGUUCAGACCAGAAGAAUAUCACACCUACAUUUUUACGUGCUUUGCUCAGUGGAUCAUACAUUGAGAUUCUUCACGUUACACAAGGCUCAGACUAUAGCACUUUGCAAACUGCGGACACAGAGAGUAUUUCUAUACUUCUUCAGCUGAGCGAUGGCUCCAAAAAUAAACAUCAUCUCAAAUGCUACAAUUUUUCAAAAGGCCGUGGACCCGGAAUAACAAAUGGAGAACAAUAUUUAAGAGACAAAUUGACGCAGGGAGGCAAGAUCUUCAAUAACAUCCUGGAUGCUCCUUCUUCACUUUGACCAGUCAUAGGGUGGAGAUUCCAAGAGUCAGUGAAGAUGUUGCACUUCCUCAAGACUGGAACUUACUGUCCAUACCUAAUUGCCCUGAUGACUUCUUCUCAGGCAGGUCAAUUGAAGUCAGAAGAGGAUCUCAAAGGUAUAGAGACGCUCCCAAUAACACUGUCUGUUUUGUCAACCCUGCUAGUUUGUUAAUAAUGUGAUUUGACUGUGGUUUUACUGGAGAAAGAAAA